GAUGAACGCUGGCGGCGUGCCUAAUACAUGCAAGUCGAGCGAACAGAUGAGGAGCUUGCUCCUCUGACGUUAGCGGCGGACGGGUGAGUAACACGUGGAUAACCUACCUAUAAGACUGGGAUAACUUCGGGAAACCGGAGCUAAUACCGGAUAAUAUAUUGAACCGCAUGGUUCAAUAGUGAAAGACGGUUUUGCUGUCACUUAUAGAUGGAUCCGCGCCGCAUUAGCUAGUUGGUAAGGUAAAGGGUUACCAAGGCAACGAGGCGUAGCCGACCGGAGAGGGUGAUCGGCCACACUGGAACGGAGACACGGUCCAGACUCCUACGGGAGGCAGCAGUAGGGAAUCUUCCGCAAUGGGCGAAAGCCUGACGGAGCAACGCCGCGUGAGUGAUGAAGGUCUUCGGAUCGUAAAACUCUGUUAUUAGGGAAGAACAAAUGUGUAAGUAACUAUGCACGUCUUGACGGUACCUAAUCAGAAAGCCACGGCUAACUACGUG
rnacentral:rRNA from 1 species